rnacentral:rRNA from 1 species
UACGUAGGGUGCAAGCGUUAAUCGGAAUUACUGGGCGUAAAGCGUGCGCAGGCGGUUAUGUAAGACAGAUGUGAAAUGCCCGGGCUUAACCUGGGAACUGCAUUUGUGACUGCACGGCUGGAGUGCGGCAGAGGGGGAUGGAAUUCCGCGUGUAGCAGUGAAAUGCGUAGAUAUGCGGAGGAACACCGAUGGCGAAGGCAAUCCCCUGGGCCUGCACUGACGCUCAUGCACGAAAGCGUGGGGAGCAAACAGG